AGGCAGCAGUGGGGAAUAUUGCACAAUGGGCGCAAGCCUGAUGCAGCCAUGCCGCGUGUGUGAAGAAGGCCUUCGGGUUGUAAAGCACUUUCAGUCGUGAGGAAGGUAGUGUAGUUAAUAGCUGCAUUAUUUGACGUUUAGCGACAGAAGAAGCACCGGCUAACUCCGUGCCAGCAGCCGCGGUAAUACGGAGGGUGCGAGCGUUAAUCGGAAUUACUGGGCGUAAAGCGCAUGCAGGUGGUUUGUUAAGUCAGAUGUGAAAGCCCGGGGCUCAACCUCGGAAUAGCAUUUGAAACUGGCAGACUAGAGUACUGUAGAGGGGGUAGAAUUUCAGGUGUAGCGGUGAAAAUGCGUAGAGAUCUGAAGGAAUACCGGUGGCGAAGGCGGCCCCCUGGACAGAUACUGACACUCAGAUGCGAAAGCGUGGGGAGCAAACAGGAUUAGAUACCCUGGUAG
rnacentral:rRNA from 1 species